UACGUAGGGGGCAAGCGUUGUCCGGAAUUAUUGGGCGUAAAGAGCGUGUAGGCGGUCCGGUAAGUCGGCUGUGAAAGUCCAGGGCUCAACCCUGGGAUGCCGGUCGAUACUGCCGGACUAGAGUUCGGAAGAGGCGAGUGGAAUUCCCCGGUGUAGCGGUGAAAUGCGCAGAUAUCGGGGAGGAACACCUAUGGCGAAGGCAGCUCGCUGGGGA
rnacentral:rRNA from 1 species